rnacentral:snRNA from 1 species
GUGCUUGCAUUGGCAGCACAUACACUAAAAUUGGAAUGGUGCAGAGAAGAUUAGCAUGGCCCCUGCGCAAGGAUGACACAAAAAUUCACGAAGUUUUCCAUAUAUAA